UUGAAAGGGAAACGAUUGAAGUCAGUCAUACCAACGGGAAAUCAACCUUUUGAGCUUGGUCUCGUGGGUUGUGAAGAGUUUCAAAGCCUUCGGAUUCGCGGGAUUGGGAUCUCUUGGUGUACUUUUUCGUACGGUUAGUCAACAUCGGUUUUGAAUGUCAUAAAAUGACUGGAGGAAUGUAGCUUCGAUCUCGUAUUGAAGUGUUAUAGCCUUUGGUAGAUGUGAUGUUUGAGACCGAGGAUUGCAACGGAUACCCUUCAGGGCUAUUCGUCUGAUCUCUGAUACGUUGCCUUGAUGUUGAAAGCUUGCUUAUGAUGUUAGGGUAUUACGGUCAAAAGGUUAGAACGAAUUACAUUCGUUAAGGAUGUUGACGUA
rnacentral:rRNA from 1 species